rnacentral:rRNA from 1 species
GGGUUGUGAGGUUAAGCGACUAAGCGUACACGGUGGAUGCCCUGGCAGUCAGAGGCGAUGAAGGACGUGCUAAUCUGCGAUAAGCGUCGGUAAGGUGAUAUGAACCGUUAUAACCGGCGAUUUCCGAAUGGGGAAACCCAGUGUGUUUCGACACACUAUCAUUAACUGAAUCCAUAGGUUAAUGAGGCGAACCGGGGGAACUGAAACAUCUAAGUACCCCGAGGAAAAGAAAUCAACCGAGAUUCCCCCAGUAGCGGCGAGCGAACGGGGAGCAGCCCAGAGCCUGAAUCAGUGUGUGUGUUAGUGGAAGCGUCUGGAAAGGCGCGCGAUACAGGGUGACAGCCCCGUACACAAAAAUGCACAUAUUGUGAGCUCGAUGAGUAGGGCGGGACACGUGGUAUCCUGUCUGAAUAUGGGGGGACCAUCCUCCAAGGCUAAAUACUCCUGACUGACCGAUAGUGAACCAGUACCGUGAGGGAAAGGCGAAAAGAACCCCGGCGAGGGGAGUGAAAAAGAACCUGAAACCGUGUACGUACAAGCAGUGGGAGCACGCUUAGGCGUGUGACUGCGUACCUUUUGUAUAAUGGGUCAGCGACUUAUAUUCUGUAGCAAGGUUAACCGAAUAGGGGAGCCGAAGGGAAACCGAGUCUUAACUGGGCGUUAAGUUGCAGGGUAUAGACCCGAAACCCGGUGAUCUAGCCAUGGGCAGGUUGAAGGUUGGGUAACACUAACUGGAGGACCGAACCGACUAAUGUUGAAAAAUUAGCGGAUGACUUGUGGCUGGGGGUGAAAGGCCAAUCAAACCGGGAGAUAGCUGGUUCUCCCCGAAAGCUAUUUAGGUAGCGCCUCGUGAAUUCAUCUCCGGGGGUAGAGCACUGUUUCGGCAAGGGGGUCAUCCCGACUUACCAACCCGAUGCAAACUGCGAAUACCGGAGAAUGUUAUCACGGGAGACACACGGCGGGUGCUAACGUCCGUCGUGAAGAGGGAAACAACCCAGACCGCCAGCUAAGGUCCCAAAGUCAUGGUUAAGUGGGAAACGAUGUGGGAAGGCCCAGACAGCCAGGAUGUUGGCUUAGAAGCAGCCAUCAUUUAAAGAAAGCGUAAUAGCUCACUGGUCGAGUCGGCCUGCGCGGAAGAUGUAACGGGGCUAAACCAUGCACCGAAGCUGCGGCAGCGACGCUGAUGCGUUGUUGGGUAGGGGAGCGUUCUGUAAGCCUGUGAAGGUGUGCUGUGAGGCAUGCUGGAGGUAUCAGAAGUGCGAAUGCUGACAUAAGUAACGAUAAAGCGGGUGAAAAGCCCGCUCGCCGGAAGACCAAGGGUUCCUGUCCAACGUUAAUCGGGGCAGGGUGAGUCGACCCCUAAGGCGAGGCCGAAAGGCGUAGUCGAUGGGAAACAGGUUAAUAUUCCUGUACUUGGUGUUACUGCGAAGGGGGGACGGAGAAGGCUAUGUUGGCCGGGCGACGGUUGUCCCGGUUUAAGCGUGUAGGCUGGUUUUCCAGGCAAAUCCGGAAAAUCAAGGCUGAGGCGUGAUGACGAGGCACUACGGUGCUGAAGCAACAAAUGCCCUGCUUCCAGGAAAAGCCUCUAAGCAUCAGGUAACAUCAAAUCGUACCCCAAACCGACACAGGUGGUCAGGUAGAGAAUACCAAGGCGCUUGAGAGAACUCGGGUGAAGGAACUAGGCAAAAUGGUGCCGUAACUUCGGGAGAAGGCACGCUGAUAUGUAGGUGAAGCGACUUGCUCGUGGAGCUGAAAUCAGUCGAAGAUACCAGCUGGCUGCAACUGUUUAUUAAAAACACAGCACUGUGCAAACACGAAAGUGGACGUAUACGGUGUGACGCCUGCCCGGUGCCGGAAGGUUAAUUGAUGGGGUCAGCGCAAGCGAAGCUCUUGAUCGAAGCCCCGGUAAACGGCGGCCGUAACUAUAACGGUCCUAAGGUAGCGAAAUUCCUUGUCGGGUAAGUUCCGACCUGCACGAAUGGCGUAAUGAUGGCCAGGCUGUCUCCACCCGAGACUCAGUGAAAUUGAACUCGCUGUGAAGAUGCAGUGUACCCGCGGCAAGACGGAAAGACCCCGUGAACCUUUACUAUAGCUUGACACUGAACAUUGAGCCUUGAUGUGUAGGAUAGGUGGGAGGCUUUGAAGUGUGGACGCCAGUCUGCAUGGAGCCGACCUUGAAAUACCACCCUUUAAUGUUUGAUGUUCUAACGUUGACCCGUAAUCCGGGUUGCGGACAGUGUCUGGUGGGUAGUUUGACUGGGGCGGUCUCCUCCUAAAGAGUAACGGAGGAGCACGAAGGUUGGCUAAUCCUGGUCGGACAUCAGGAGGUUAGUGCAAUGGCAUAAGCCAGCUUGACUGCGAGCGUGACGGCGCGAGCAGGUGCGAAAGCAGGUCAUAGUGAUCCGGUGGUUCUGAAUGGAAGGGCCAUCGCUCAACGGAUAAAAGGUACUCCGGGGAUAACAGGCUGAUACCGCCCAAGAGUUCAUAUCGACGGCGGUGUUUGGCACCUCGAUGUCGGCUCAUCACAUCCUGGGGCUGAAGUAGGUCCCAAGGGUAUGGCUGUUCGCCAUUUAAAGUGGUACGCGAGCUGGGUUUAGAACGUCGUGAGACAGUUCGGUCCCUAUCUGCCGUGGGCGCUGGAGAACUGAGGGGGGCUGCUCCUAGUACGAGAGGACCGGAGUGGACGCAUCACUGGUGUUCGGGUUGUCAUGCCAAUGGCACUGCCCGGUAGCUAAAUGCGGAAGAGAUAAGUGCUGAAAGCAUCUAAGCACGAAACUUGCCCCGAGAUGAGUUCUCCCUGACUCCUUGAGAGUCCUGAAGGAACGUUGAAGACGACGACGUUGAUAGGCCGGGUGUGUAAGCGCAGCGAUGCGUUGAGCUAACCGGUACUAAUGAACCGUGAGGCUUAACCUUACAACGCCGAAGCUGUU